rnacentral:rRNA from 1 species
GUGCACGCUGGCGGUAGGCCUAACCCAUGCCAGUCGAACGGCAGCACAGUAAGAGCUUGCUCUUACGGGUGGCGAGUGGCGGACGGGUGAGGAAUACAUCGGAAUCUACUUUUUCGUGGGGGAUAACGUAGGGAAACUUACGCUAAUACCGCAUACGACCUACGGGUGAAAGCAGGGGAUCUUCGGACCUUGCGCGAUUGAAUGAGCCGAUGUCGGAUUAGCUAGUUGGCGGGGUAAAGGCCCACCAAGGCGACGAUCCGUAGCUGGUCUGAGAGGAUGAUCAGCCACACUGGAACUGAGACACGGUCCAGACUCCUACGGGAGGCAGCAGUGGGGAAUAUUGGACAAUGGGCGCAAGCCUGAUCCAGCCAUACCGCGUGGGUGAAGAAGGCCUUCGGGUUGUAAAGCCCUUUUGUUGGGAAAGAAAAGCAGCAGGUUAAUACCCCGCUGUUCUGACGGUACCCAAAGAAUAAGCACCGGCUAACUUCGUA